AAUUUGAACUAAUGUUAUAUCUGGAGGUCACGGUGCAGGUGGCAUUAUUAACCCACUUUCCAGAUGAGGAAAUGGCCACUCUCCAGGGCUGCCAUCAACCCCAGUGCUCCUAGAUCACUGCAUCUGCCUGCAGGUCCUGCAGUGGGAGCUUGCAGGGGCGGGAGAGAGAAGACGUGGGAAUGACCCGAGAGGCAGGAGACUGAGUUCCUGCCUUCAAUGGGCUCACUGCUUGGGGGAGCAAAGGAUGCUAUAUGACGUGAGGAAGCCCCCUGGAACAGUGCUCUUCCCCCGCCCCCACCCCAGGCCAGUUUCUGAAGUCAGUAGGUCUGGGCUGGGGAGGCGGGGUGGAGAAUUUGCAUUUCUAGAUGUUCUUCUUGCUGAUGCCUAUUUUGCUGGUGUGGAGGCCACUGGGGGAGGAGCAAUGACAUAGGGGGCUUCCUUGCUGGCGUCACUCCCACACGCAGGCUUGUUCCCUUCCAGAUGCUGAACACCUCAGGGUGCCAUGAAACGGUCUCUUGGUUAUGUUCUCACGUUGUUUGGAAAUCAUGCUCUCACUUCACAGAGCGUCGUUUGCUCCCCAAAGACACAGGCACUUCACCUUGAGCAAGUUAUUUGCUGGGAAGGGACAUAGGACCAAUCUGUCUCAGGAUGGAGGCAGAACACUCCAAAUGCCCCUUCAUCUCUUCCCUGUGGCGGGGUGGUCAAUGGCCCUUCUGAAACCUGAACCCAGAAGACGUGUGCCUUCUUUCCCAUCUCUGUGACCUCCUGGGAGCCUUCCCCAUCAGCCUUGCUGAGGGAUCCGGAGGGACCCUCUCUGUCUCCCUCCCCAAGCUGUGCAGAGCUGGACGUGAUCUGCAGUGAGUUCCCUUACCCGGGCUAUUGUCUACAACACAGCCACUCUGCCCUCAUUCCUGGUGGGCUGACAAAGCAGCAGAAGAGAGACAGUUAGGAUUCUGGUCAUAAAGGCCUGGCAUCUGACUGACUUAAGCAGAGGGCAUGCUUUCUAAUAUUGCCAAGCAGAGAGACGCUCACCCGCUUCUCCAGCGUGAAUGCAAUGAAACAACUCAAACACCUAAUAGGAGAGUUGAAAGUGAGGCAUCAGUCAAUAGGAGAAUGCUGUGGCAUCCCCUUUUAGAUUAAGAAGCAACCAGGUUGGCAUUCCCAUCCUGGUGCAGAGGAAAUGAAUCUGACUAGGAACCACCAGGUUGUGGGUUCGAUCCCUAGCCUUGCUCAGUGGGUUAAGGAUCCGGUGUUGCCGUGAGCUGUGGUGUAGGUUGCAGAGGAGGCUCUGAUCCUGCGUUGCCACGCCUGUGGUGUAGACCAGAGGCUGCAGCUCUGAUUCCACCCCUAGCCUGGGAACCUCUAUAUGCUGAAAGUGUGGCCCCGAAAAAAGCAAAAGAAAAGAAAAGCUGACUGUUAUGUGAGAAUGGGAGCCACCAAAGGUUUCUGAGCAGAAUGACAGGCAAAGGGAGUGCUCUUGGAAAACUUAUAUGGGUGGGACUAUAAGUGGGCGGCAGAGAAAGACAAGUAGAAUAUUUCCAUGGAAGGUCUAGGGGCAGGCAAUAUGGUAUACAGAUCACGUUUGGGAUCAGAAGGAACGGGGCUCAAAUCUGUGCUGAGCUACUUCCUAUGUCACCUCAGUGAACCCCGAGGUUCUCUAUCUGCAAAACGGGAUCCCAAGCGUGCCUAUCUCACCAGACCGUAAUGGUGAAAUGGAAUCACAGAGAAAAGAGCCUGGCAAACAUAGAAACCAGCCCCCUGUUAUCGCUCAGCAUCAUCACUGCUCUUGAGAGUUAGAACAUAAGGUCUUAGACAGAUGGCGGCAACUGGAAUGCAAAGGUGGAUGCAUGUGAGAGGACAUGGAAGAAUGAACAAGACUUCUUUCUUCGGGCUGAACAGGGACCAGGAGCUCAGAGGUGGCGGUGGAAAUGCUAGACUUUGGAGGGAGAGCAUGAAGAAAAGAGCAGGGCACACCCCUGGGCCUUUGCCAUGUGUACAGGCGACAAGAAAGGCAGCUUCAAAGGAGCAGAGAAGGGGUGGGGUGACACGAUCACAAAAGCUAGGGGAAGAGAGGCAGAAGGGCAAGUUAGUGCUGUAUAAAUAUGUUUAGUUAGCUAUAAAUAUCAUUAAAAUGUAUUAUACCCCCCUAAACACACUGGAAGAAUAUAUUCCACAAUGUAGCUAUUGCUAGGCGGUGAGAAUUUUAGGGGAUUUUCAGUGUUUUUAAGGCACUCCUGCAGUAAGGUUUGAUUUAUUUAUUUUUUGCUCUUAACAGCUAAUACGUGAACAGCACAUACACUUGCCCAGCAUUGUUCUGAGAGCUUUAUAGAUAUUAACUUACUUCAUCCUCAAAACAACACUGUGAGGUUACUACUGUUUUUCCCAGGUUGGGAUUAAAGGAACCGAGGGAGGCAGACGCGCGGAGCACAUGCAGCCAAGGUCAGAGCGAAGGUGAGCGGAGGAGCCAGCGUUGCAAUGCUGAUCCGGCAGCCUGGCUCCAGGGUCUGUGCGCUCAACCACAUGUGAUACUUUUAUGACUAAAAAAAAAAUCCCAGUAAUUGCUAUUCACAAAACCAGGAGGUGGGGCAGUUAUUCGUCACUUUACAGGGGGUAAAGGAAGGAGAGAGCAAACAAAGCUUGUGGGACUCAGUGACGGGGAGUUCCCGGGGGGCCCUGAGCGAGGGGUUUCCACUGGGAAGGGAAGGGAGGUGGGAGUGUAAGGGACCAAGAGAGAACUACUAAUUCAGGAACGUGGGUGGUGAGUGCAGGGGACUAUUUCGAGACAUGUGGCCGUGUGGUGAAGACAAGGAGCUGGAUGGGAACUUUUAGGGGCAGGAGGAUUGUUUGAAGAGACGGUUGGCAGCCCAUAUACUCAAACUGGAACGAUACAGAGAAGAUUAGCAUGGCCCCCUGCGCAGGCAUGACAUGCAAAUUCAUGAUGCGUUCCAUACUUUUA
rnacentral:lncRNA from 1 species